GACUUGUCCUCGAGAUGGAGUCUGCAC
rnacentral:piRNA from 1 species